rnacentral:rRNA from 1 species
UAAGGAAUAUCGCUCAAUGGGAGAAAUCCUGAAGCAGCAACGCCGCGUGGAGGAUGAAGGGUCUAUGACUUGUAAACUCCUGUAAAGAAGGAAAAAAUUCCCAUUAGAUGGGAGAUGAUGGUACUUCUGGAGUAAGCCCCGGCUAACUACGUGCCAGCAGCCGCGGUAAUACGUAGGGGGCAAGCGUUGUCCGGAUUUACUGGGUGUAAAGGGUGCUCAGGCGGAUUUGUAAGUCAGAGGUGAAAUCUUACAGCUUAACUGUGAAACUGCCUUUGAUACUGCAAGCCUAGAGUAUGGAAGAGAGUGAUGGAAUAUCUGGUGUAGCAGUGAAAUGCGUAGAUAUCAGAUAGAACACCAAUGGCGAAGGCAGUCACUUGGUCCAUUACUGACGCUAAAGCACGAAAGCGGGGGUAGCAAACA